UACGAGUGCUUCAAGCGUUACCCGGAAUCACUGGGCGUAAAGGGUUUGUAGGCGGUUGUGUUAGUCCCUUGUUAAAACCCGGCGCUUAACGCCGGAUCUGCAGGGGAAACGGUACGACUGGAGAGUGCGAGAGGUGAAUGGAACUCAUGGUGUAGGGGUGAAAUCCGUUGAUAUCAUGGGGAACACCAAAUGCGAAGGCAAUUCACUGGCGCAUUUCUGACGCUGAAAAACGAAAGCGUGGGGAUCGAACGGG
rnacentral:rRNA from 1 species